rnacentral:rRNA from 1 species
AACGAACGCUGGCGGCAUGCCUAACACAUGCAAGUCGAACGAGACCUUCGGGUCUAGUGGCGCACGGGUGCGUAACGCGUGGGAACCUGCCCUUAGGUUCGGAAUAACUCCACGAAAGGGGUGCUAAUACCGGAUAAUGUCUUCGAACCAAAGAUUUAUCGACUUUGGAUGGGCCCGCGUUGGAUUAGCUAGUUGGUAGGGUAAAAGCCUACCAAGACGACGAUUCAUAGCUGGUUUGAGAGGAUGAUCAGCCACACUGGGACUGAGACACGGCCCAGACUCCUACGGGAGGCAGCAGUGGGGGAUAUUGCACAAUGGGCGAAAGCCUGAUCCAGCAAUGCCGCGUGAGUGAUGAAGGCCUUAGGGUUGUAAAGCUCUUUUACCCGGGAUGAUAAUGACAGUACCGGGAGAAUAAGCUCCGGCUAACUCCGUG